rnacentral:tRNA from 1 species
AAACAAGAAAUGAUGUAUCAUAUAUGAUUUCGGCUCAUACUUAGAUGUUUUAACAUCCCUGUUUA